rnacentral:sRNA from 1 species
ACUAAGGGCUAAGUUUCUCCACCAGCGGGAGAGCCACCGUGUGGUGUCACGACUGCCCCGGGGAGGGGUUCUGGCUUGGGGCCAGCUUUGCCUGCUUCCCUGCAGCUGUGGUGGGGUGGGUGCCACCAGACGCCCCUGCAUCUGUACGGCAGAAGGGCCUGUCCUCACCGCAGACAGCACGGAGGGUGGGGGCAGCAGAUGCCUCCCCCGUGGGUGCCUCUUGCCCAGCGUGGGCAGAGAGGAGCGGGCUGAGCUGUCCCGGCCUGAGCAGGGAGCGGCAGCUGCCCAUGCUGCUGGGGGCGAUUGCCUGGUGCUCACACCCCAUCCCCGCCUCCCUACAGGGGCUUCGCCCUCUACAAUGCUGCCAACCUCAAGAGCAUCGACUUCCACCGCAGGAUAGAGGAGAAGUCCCUGGCCCAGCUGAAAAGACAGUAGGUGCCCCUGGGGCGGGGACUCCCCGGCUCCUCCACCCAAUGCUCAGCAUCCCCCACCUUUCCCCCCAACAGGAUGGAGCGUAUCCGUGCCAAGCAGGAGAAGCACAGGCAGGGCCGGGUGGACCGCAGUCGUCCCCAGGACACCCUGGGCCCCAAGGACCCCGGCCUGGAGCCAGUCAUCCACUCUGGGGACUACUUCCU